rnacentral:lncRNA from 1 species
GGAGUGAUCCUAGUCCUCCGGGCUUCAUGGUUCAAUCGCUCCUCUUGAAGUCGUGCGAAAGAGAUGGCUGCCAUAAGCGUGUAUGGUUGUCGCGCCUUAACUUCUCCCCGGAUCUCCGACUUUAAGCCCUCAAUAAAGGUCCCCAAUAGUUGUUUUUCAGACCAAUCACGAGUUUGAUUAGAUAAUCUUUCAAACCUGGUUUGGUACUCCUGAAUGGUGGAGGUUUGUCGGAUCUUUGCUAGUUGUCCGUCAAUGUUCUCGUAAUAAGUUGGUCCGAAGCGGAUCAGUAGUCCUU